rnacentral:rRNA from 1 species
AGUGAACGCUGGCGGUAGGCCUAACACAUGCAAGUCGAACGGCAGCACAGGAGAGCUUGCCCUCUGGGUGGCGAGUGGCGGACGGGUGAGGAAUACAUCGGAAUCUACUCUGUCGUGGGGGAUAACGUAGGGAAACUUACGCUAAUACCGCAUACGACCUACGGGUGAAAGCAGGGGACCUUCGGGCCUUGCGCGAUUGAAUGAGCCGAUGUCGGAUUAGCUAGUUGGCGGGGUAAAGGCCCACCAAGGCGACGAUCCGUAGCUGGUCUGAGAGGAUGAUAAGCCAGACUGGAACUGAGACACGGUCCAGACUCCUACGGGAGGCAGCAGUGGGGAAUAUUGGACAAUGAGCGCAAGCCUGAUCCAGCCAUACCGCGUGGGUGAAGAAGGCCUUCGGGUUGUAAAGCCCUUUUGUUGGGAAAGAAAUCCAGCUGGCUAAUACCCGGUUGGGAUGACGGUACCCAAAGAAUAAGCACCGGCUAACUUCGUGCCAGCCGCCGCGGUAA